UCCGCUCAAUUCUUUCCUUCCUCCCGCGCUUUCGUUGCUCCAAGCCAGAUCUAGGGUUUCGAUCUCCACAGCCGCCGCCGCCGCCGCCAUGUCGUCCGUCGAGAUCCCACCGCAGGGACCGAACGCCAUGCUCGGCUCUUUCACGUUCGUGGAUCCCGUCCAGCCGGCGCAGAUGCGCGUCCCCGCCGAGAAGAAGAGAGGCCGCUGCGGGGAUCUCCUUCUCGCCGACGACUCCGAGGCUGCAGGUUGGUCGUCGGCGAUCCUGGACCGGAGCCUCGCCCUGCGCCGUCGGCGAGGCCCAGCUGCUCCCCCUUCCGGCCACCGCGGCUGCCUCGUCGUGACUGAGGCGCAGAACAGUCGUGACCAGGAGAAAGGUCCGGAAGUUGUCGCAGAAGAAAUCCUCGAGCGCCAAGGGAGCGAAAAGAAGCCUACUGUCGAGGAGCUGGUCUACUGGACAGUCAUCUAGCCGUAUCAAUCAAAUCCCCCUGGUGUUCCGGUCCUGCUGGCCCAAAUAGCUUGAAGAAGGUUCGAUUUCCCCCCUCUCUUUGUGUUUAUUGCAGAGUUUAUUUCAGGCCACAUGAGUAACUUGCUUUCUCUUGUUUUUCUGUCAAUGUGGGAGCACCUACAACCGAAUUAAAUUUACUGAUGGCCUUCACGUUGCUGAGAGUUGAGGAGGCAACCGGAAGUAAUCGGAUUACAAGUGAAGAACACCUAGCAGGAUGUGCUUGAACCUUGAAGGCAAAGGCAGUGAAGAGGAGGCGUGGAUUGGUGGCGAUGGCGAGGAGUUCUUCUACCUAGUUGUCAUCAUCUAGUCGAAUCUUCCCAAGCUUUGUAGUAACAGUUCCGUUCUUCUACCCAGUUUUCAUCUAGUCGAAUCUUCCCAAGCUUUGUAGUAACAGUUCCUCCUAUGGUUGUCUUUCGAUGUGUGUAUGUCAAUAGAUGAUCCCUGUGUUACAGAGUCCUGUUCAUGUGUUCAAGUCAGAUAAAGUUAAGUUGUAAUCGUCUUCUUUGAUAAAUAAAUUGAUCUACUUAAGCUGAGUUGUGAUGUGCUCUCACAUCAGGCUACUGUUUUUGUGACAUCUGCAGCACUGGCAUUGCCUUCACCGUCUAUGUUAUCUUAUCUCACUUUAUUCUGGCCUAAAUGAUUAUCUCAAUCUUUUUGUUAAACCCAUUGCCUUAUUAGAUUUAUAAUAAUAAUGUCAAAUGGUAGGUCAUGGUUAUCUAAUGUUUACUUUUUGUAUUUGCAGAUUUUGAAUUUUCUAAGCAUUAGUUGUUUGAGAUCUGCAAUUUUCUGAUUGUUGCGAUUAAAAUUCCUCUAGUGACAAGCUUGGUGGGAUUUAUGGACUAGGUAAUGCUCAUUUAAUAUUGUGAUUAAUUUUCAACUGAGUGAUGCGUUAGGUGCCAUUAAGGUCGAUCUACUCUAUUGUGAACUGUGAUUAUUUUCUCAUUUGUAUUUGUUCUGCAGGGUGUCCUAUUAGUUCCUGCUAAGUAAAUAUAACUGUCUUACUCUAUUCAUCUUGACUAAACAAAUGUUUCAUUUUUCUGUUGGAGUUGUAGUAGUUAAAGUCUUUUUUGGCAGUUUAAAGCUUAUGCACGGUCAAAUUUAUGAAUUAAUUAUGGUAGUACAUAUAGGUGUAUGCAAAAGUCAUAAAUUGAGAUUGAAAAAAAAACAGUGGAACGGCUUGAUCUUAUGAUUUAUGAUACCUAAUUUUCACUUGCAAAGUUGGAAUAAAUCUCCCCAAAUUCUUAGAAAGGUUUAUGAGUUCGGAAUAUCCUUUGUCCAACAUUUUCAUUCUUGAACAUGUCUUAAGUCAUGAUUUGAGCUGUUAUAUUCAUAUGACCUCGGAAUUAUGAGCACCGGAAGUUGUUAUAUUCAAGAGCGGUGACCAGGAGACAGCUCCGAAAGUUGUCUCGGCCUCUCGGGAGCAAUCCUGCAGCGCCAAGCGAGUGGAAAGGAGCCAUCUGUCGAGGAGCUGGUGUACUAGACAGUCAUCUAGCCGUAUCAAUCAAAUCCCCCUGGUCUUCCAGUCCUGCUAGCCCAAAUCGCUUGAAGAAGGUUCGAUUUUGCCCCUCUCUUUGUGUUUAUUGCAGAGUUUAUUUCAGGCCACAUGAGUAACUUGCUUUCUUUUGUUUUUCUAUCAAUGUGGGAGCACGUACAACCGAAUUAAACUCACUGAUGGCCUUCACGUUGCUGAGAGUCAAGGAGGCAACCAGAAGCAAUCGGAUUACAGUCAAGAACACCUAGCAGGAUAAGCUGGAAGGAGGCGUUGAUUGGUGGGGAUGGCAAGGAGUUCUUCUACCUAGAUGUCAUCUAGUACCCAGAGUUCCUUCUCUGGUUGUCUUUCGAUGUGUUUAUGCCAAUUGAUGGGCCCUGUUAGGCUGUUACAGAGUCUGGUUCAUGUCUUCAAGUCGAUAAAUUGUGAUGUAAUUGGUUUGUUUGAUAAAGAAAUUUAUUUACUUAAGCUGAGUUGCAAUGUGCACUCACAUCGGGCUACUGUUUUGUGACCUCUGCAGCACUGGCAUUGCCUCCAC
rnacentral:lncRNA from 1 species